rnacentral:rRNA from 1 species
UGAACGCUGGCGGCAGGCCUAACACAUGCAAGUCGAGCGGAUGAGUGGAGCUUGCUCCAUGAUUCAGCGGCGGACGGGUGAGUAAUGCCUAGGAAUCUGCCUGGUAGUGGGGGACAACGUUUCGAAAGGAACGCUAAUACCGCAUACGUCCUACGGGAGAAAGCAGGGGACCUUCGGGCCUUGCGCUAUCAGAUGAGCCUAGGUCGGAUUAGCUAGUAGGUGAGGUAAUGGCUCACCUAGGCGACGAUCCGUAACUGGUCUGAGAGGAUGAUCAGUCACACUGGAACUGAGACACGGUCCAGACUCCUACGGGAGGCAGCAGUGGGGAAUAUUGGACAAUGGGCGAAAGCCUGAUCCAGCCAUGCCGCGUGUGUGAAGAAGGUCUUCGGAUUGUAAAGCACUUUAAGUUGGGAGGAAGGGCAGUAAGUUAAUACCUUGCUGUUUUGACGUUACCAACAGAAUAAGCACCGGCUAACUUCGUGCCAGCAGCCGCGGUAAUACGAAGGGUGCAAGCGUUAAUCGGAAUUACUGGGCGUAAAGCGCGCGUAGGUGGUUCAGCAAGUUGGAGGU